rnacentral:lncRNA from 13 species
CACUGACCUUUCUCUCAAAAUGAUCAGAGAUAGUUCAGAUCUUUGACUCCUGUAGUCCAAUCACAGACCUUGACAUUUAAACCAGGAGCAAAUAUUCGUGUGGCUUUUUAAAAAAAAUCAUGGCUUGUUGAUUAUAAUUAAGUUUCAGUCUUUCCUUCUGGUCGAUCAGAAUUAUCACCUCCCAGGACCUAUGGGAUGGUCACCUCAUGCCUCAGAAUGUUGUGGAGCAGGCGAUCCUGGCGUCUCUGAGUCAAGAGAGCUCGUUCAGUCACCUGCUUUGCGCUCCCCACCUCUGCCACCUCCUUCCCAGUUGGAACGGUCCAGAGGCCCAGAAAGACCGAAUUGUUUUGAAGGCCAGGGCCCUGCUUCCCUAUGCUGCCUCAGAACACUGCUCCCAGCAUCCAGGCUACUCUCACUACAGCCAUGGCUGAAAGGGGCCCAUGUGUGGCUCAGGCUUUCACUUUGGAGAAUGAAGUCAGAUGCCUUGGCAGCUUCCACGUGGUGACCCAGGCCUCAAGACUUAGAAGAUUCGCCUGUAAUCCCAGCACUUUGGGAGGCCGACGUGGGUGGAUCACGAGGUCAAUAGAUCGAGACCAUCCUGGUCAACAUGGUGAAACCCCGUCUCUUCUAAAAAUACAAAAAUUUGAGUUGAAGUCCUGGAUA